rnacentral:rRNA from 1 species
CAGUAGCCGCGGUAAUACAGAGGAUGCAAGCGUUAUCCGGAAUGAUUGGGCGUAAAGCGUGCGCAGGCGGUUUUGUAAGACAGGCGUGAAAUCCCCGGGCUCAACCUGGGAAUGGCGCUUGUGACUGGCGGGCUCGAGUACGGUAGAGGGGGGUGGAAUUCCUGGUGUAGCAGUGAAAUGCGUAGAGAUCAGGAGGAACACCGAUGGCGAAGGCAGCCCCCUGGGCCUGUACUGACGCUCAUGCACGAAAGCGUGGGGAGCAAACAGGAUUAGAUACCCCCGUAGUCCCUGUCUCUUAUAC